rnacentral:lncRNA from 1 species
GUUGCUUUUGUCAGUAACAGUGCUAUUCCUUCCAUAGUACUUUGAAUACUCUGCUCAACAUGAAAUUCGGCACAACAUCCAGAAGGAAUUAUGUCUUCAUGCUGCUCAAGGUCUCGUUCAGCUGAAGGGAUGUACCUACAAAGGUCACAAGACAGUUGUCACUGGAGAGCAGAUAUGGGAGAUCCAGAAGGAUCAACUUCUAUACAAUCCAUUCUUUAAAAUGUGCCUUUCAGCAAAUGGAGAGCAUCCAAGUUUAGUGUCAUGC